GACGAACGCUGGCGGCGUGCUUAACACAUGCAAGUCGUACGGUAAGGCCCUUUCGGGGGUACACGAGUGGCGAACGGGUGAGUAACACGUGAGUAACCUGCCCACAACUUUGGGAUAACGCUAGGAAACUGGUGCUAAUACUGGAUAUGUGCUCCUGCUGCAUGGUGGGGGUUGGAAAGCUCCGGCGGUUGUGGAUGGACUCGCGGCCUAUCAGCUUGUUGGUGGGGUAGUGGCCUACCAAGGCGGCGACGGGUAGCCGGCCUGAGAGGGUGACCGGCCACAUUGGGACUGAGAUACGGCCCAGACUCCUACGGGAGGCAGCGGUGGGGAAUAUUGCACAAGGGGCGCAAGCCUGAUGCAGCAACGCCGCGUGCGGGAUGACGGCCUUCGGGUUGUAAACCGCUUUCAGCAGGGACGAAGCUUUUUGUGACGGUACCUGCAGAAGAAGCACCGGCUAACUACGUG
rnacentral:rRNA from 1 species